rnacentral:lncRNA from 1 species
GGGCGGUUUAGGCUUAAGGUUAGCCAGCCUGGGGCUAUGGGAGCUGCAGGUGGAUAUACAACCUUGGGUCUGGUGUAGCGCUCCUAAGUUAAAAGAGACUUUUAAGUUAAACAAACGUCCAAGAUACCUUCCUUUCACUAGAAUAUCAGCCGAUUAACAAAAAUGGUCCCAAAGCUCCGUGACAGUGGACACAUUUUUUUAGGGCUACAGAUAGGCGUCUUAAUCACUUUCUUCCCGCUCUUUUGCUCUAGGGUGUCCUUUUUCUCCUGAAAAUUCAUAUUCUGCCAGGUCCUUUAAAAAGCCAGCAUCGUUCCAACUCUCAUCUGAAGCUCCGGCUGCCCUGGCUGCCAGUUUAGCAUCUGUCUCUGACCCUUCGGCUUCCUCGAAGGAGGGGGCAGACAGCGAUGCAAAUGUCUUGCAAUGACAUUGCUACUGCAGAAAAUACUUAUGGACUGAGAGGUACUUGAACCUUACUCUCUAGUUACUUUUCAGUCUUGAAGAGUCUCACAAAAUGUGUUCAGUGGUGAGAAUAAAUUGUGGUGGUGGUAGUGUUAUAGCCAGACCGUUCAAAAAGAGACUGGAACGAGCUCUUUAUGAAUUUGAAGUUUGCACAGACCCGGCCGAGGGCACGCACUCACUACAAGUCUAGAGAGACGGCCCCGACCGUUAAAGACAGGUUUAUAAAGGGGGAAACCACAGGUUCCAAACUUCCAUUAACGCGGUCGCUAUUGGCAAGCAUGACAAGAUAUAAACUUUUAACAAAAAAUGAGACACGGGUAUAGUACCAUGGCAUCUCUGCUUGAUCGAGGAGCAGAAAGCCUUCAGGUUACAGAAGUAGGACGACGGAGGAUCGAUAGAGAGGUGGGAAGAAUGGAAGAGCCAGAGGAUGGGGAUGAGUGAUGUGAAAUGCUGUCUUUGGGACAAGAUCUGUUGACUGCACUCAUGAGCUCUCUGAAGCUGUGACUCCCUGCACAAAUUCAAAUCAUCAUUCCAACAGAUACUGCCUGGUAGCAUACAACUGUAACAAAAACAAACUCAAGAAGAGG